rnacentral:rRNA from 1 species
GGGGGUAAAUUAAUAAUUAAUAAAUAAUAAAAAAAAUUUUAAUAUUAAAAAAAAAUAAUGGGGGUUAGAGUAUUUUUAAUAGAAAAAAUUAAUAGUUUUAUAGUUAAGUAUUACUGUAAAGGAAAUUAUAAAUAAAUGAAAAUUAAUUAAAAUAAAAGUAAAUUUAAUUUGUUGUAUCUUGUGUAUCAGAGUUUAUUAAAUAUUAGUAAUUUAUUUAAAUAAAUCUCGAAUUUAAAAGAGUUAAUUAGUUAAAAAAGUUAAUGUUGAAUAAUUAUUUUAAAUAACUAAUUAGAAAUGAAAUGUUAAUCGUUUUUAAAUAUAUCUAGUUUUUUUAGAAAAAAAUUUAAUUUUAAAUUUAAAUAAUUUUAUAAUUUUUUAAUUAAUUAUAAAAAUUUAAAAUUUAAUAUUUUAGGGGAUAAGCUUUAAAUUAAAAUAUUAUAAUUAAUAAAAAUAAAAAUUAAAAUUUUUAAAAUUUAUAUUGUUUAAAAAUUAUAGUUUAUUAUAAAAAAUUUUAAUUAAAAUAAAAUUUAAAUGAAUUUAAUUUUUUAUAAAAAAAUAAUUUUUAAUAGAAAAAAAUUAAUAAUAAUGAUAAAAUUAGUAUAUUAUAAUAAUAAAAUAAAAAAAUUAAUUGAAAUUAAAUUAAAGGAAUUCGGCAAAAAUUUAUAUUCACUUGUUUAUCAAAAACAUGUCUUUUUGAUAAUAAUUUAAAGUCUAAUCUGCCCACUGAUAUAAUUAUUAAAGGGCUGCAGUAUAUUGACUGUACAAAGGUAGCAUAAUCAUUAGUCUUUUAAUUGAAGACUUGUAUGAAAGAUUUGAUGAAAUAUAAACUGUCUCUAAUUUAUUGAAAUAAAAUUUAAUUUUUUAGUAAAAAAGCUAAAAUAAAAUUAAAAGACGAGAAGACCCUAUAGAGUUUUAUAAUUAAAUUAAUUGAUUUAAAAUAUAUAAAUAUGAAAAUAAAAUUAUUUUAAUUAUUUUAUUGGGGUGAUAGAAAAAUUAAAAAAACUUUUUUUAAAAAUUAACAUUAAUAAGUGAAUAAAUGAUCCAUUAAUAAUGAUUAUAAGAAAAAAUUACCUUAGGGAUAACAGCGUAAUAUUUUUUUUUAGUACAAAUAAAAAAAAAAGUUUGCGACCUCGAUGUUGGAUUAAGAUAAAAUUUAAAUGCAAAAGUUUAAAAUUUUGAUCUGUUCGAUCAUUAAAAUCUUACAUGAUCUGAGUUCAAACCGGUGUAAGCCAGGUUGGUUUCUAUCUUUAAUAAAAAUAAAUAUUUUAGUACGAAAGGAUCAAAUAUUUAAAAUAAUUUUAAUUGAAUGAAUAUUAAUAAUAUUAUGUUAA